rnacentral:rRNA from 1 species
GUGACAGCCGCCGCGGUAAUACGGAGGGUGCUAGCGUUGUUCGGAAUUAUUGGGCGUAAAGAGCGUGUAGGCGGCCAGGUAAGUCAGAUGUGAAAACCCUUGGCUUAACCAAGGAAGUGCAUUUGAAACUGUCCGGCUUGAGUACGGGAGGGGAAAGCGGAAUUCCCGGUGUAGAGGUGAAAUUCGUAGAUAUCGGGAGGAACACCGGUGGCGAAGGCGGCUUUCUGGACCGAUACUGACGCUGAGACGCGAAAGCGUGGGGAGCAAACAGGAUUAGAAACCCGUGUAGUCC